rnacentral:rRNA from 1 species
UACGUAGGGGGCAAACGUUGUCCGGAUUUAUUGGGCGUAAAGAGCGUGUAGGCGGCCUGACAGGUCUGCUGUGAAAACUCGAGGCUCAACCUCGAGAUGUCGGCGGAAACCGUCUGGCUAGAGUCCGGAAGAGGAGAGUGGAAUUCCUGGUGUAGCGGUGAAAUGUGUAGAGAUCGGGAGGAACACCGGUGGCGAAGGCGGGUCUCUGGGCAAUUCCUGACGCUGAGGCGCGAAAGCGUGGGGAGCAAACGGG